UACGGGGGGGGGCUAGCGUUGUUCGGAAUUACUGGGCGUAAAGGGCGCGUAGGCGGUGUGUCAAGUCAGGCGUGAAAGCCCCGGGCUCAACCUGGGAACCGCGCUUGAGACUGGCACGCUCGAGUUCGGGAGAGGAUGGUGGAAUUCCCAGUGUAGAGGUGAAAUUCGUAGAUAUUGGGAAGAACACCGAUGGCGAAGGCAGCCAUCUGGACCGACACUGACGCUGAGGCGCGAAAGCGUGGGGAGCAAACAGGG
rnacentral:rRNA from 1 species